GCGGGUAUGGUGAAACGGUAUCACAGCAGCUUCCCAAGCUGUUAUUGCGGGUUCGAUUCCCGCUACCCGCUCCA
rnacentral:tRNA from 1 species